UUUUAUUCCAAAUUAGUGAAUUCUACUUUGAUAAAUGUUGAAGAGCAAAGCGCCACUAGGAACGGCGAUCUACAAGUAAAUGACCCUGCAAUAAAUGAGGGUUCUCAAGGCGUUAAUGAGGGCUGCGAACUGCAAGAUGCAGCAUUACUAGUUACACAGCCAGGGUUUGUAACACAGAAUACCUCUACAAAAUCUUCAAGACUUAGUCUUAGUCGGAAACGAAAGCAGUCCCGUUCUAUUACCCGUGAUAAAAGGGCAUGCCCUGACAAUGCACUAGUCUCUGAUGUGCAACCUCGGGAUACCACCACAGAUUUCAUUAAAACAGUUGAUUUCUAUACAGAAAACCUGUUAGGAGCUGGAGAUGUCACAAAUUCAUGGUCUGCAGCGUUGGCAAGUGUCUCAGAAGCUAACGGUGAUGCGAUAGUGCCGGUAGCUACUACCGUACUGACAUCUUCUUUGGACUCGCAGACAUCUGCGGCGGUUAAUCUGCCACG